rnacentral:rRNA from 1 species
CUUGGUUGAUCCUGCCAGUAGUCAUAUGCUUGUCUCAAAGAUUAAACCAUGCACAUGUAAGUAAGAACUAAUUCAGACUAUGAAACUAUGAAUGGCUCAUUAAAUUAGUUAUAGUUUGUUUAAUGGUAUCUACUACUUGAAUAAUCGUAGUAAUUCUAGAGCUAAUACAUGUAAUAAAUCCUAAUUUUUAGAAGGGAUGCAUUUAUUAGAUAACAGGUCGACGUGAGCUUUGCUCGUUGCUUUGAUGAUUCAUGAUAACUUGACAGAUCGCAUGGCCUUUGUAUCGAUGACUCAUCAUUCAAAUUUUUGCCCUAUCAACUUUCAAUGAUAGGAUAGUAGCCUAUUAUGGUGGUGACGGGUGAUGGAGAAUUAGGGUUUAAUUUCAAAGAGGGAGCCUAAGAAACAACUAUCAUAUCUAAGGAAGAUAGCAAGCACAUAAAUUACCCAAUCCUGACAUAAGGAGAUAGUGACAAUAAAGAAUAAUAUUAGGCUCUAUGAGCUUGGUAAUUGGAAUGAGUACAAUCUAAAUCCCUUAAUGAGGAUCCAUUGGAAGGUAAGUCUAGUGCUAGCAACCAUGGUAAUUCUGGAUCCAAUAGCAUAUAUUUAAGUUGUUAUAGUUAAAAAGCUUGUAGUUAGAACUAGGUUUAGAUCAUUCAAUUUGUCUCAUGGUAAGCAUCAGUCUACUCAUCCUUAUUACUGAUGAUGUGCUUAUAGUCUUAAUUGGCAGGGUUGUUCUUCUAGCAUUGUUACUUUGAAGAAAUUAUAAUGCUUAAAGCAGGCCUACACUUUUAUCCAUUAGCAUGAGAUAGCAUCAUAGGAUUUCGAUCCUAUUAUGUUGGCCUUCAAAAUUAGAGUAAUGAUUAGUAGGGACAGUCAAAGGUAUUCAUAUUUCAUAGUUAAAAGUGAAAUUCUUGGAUUUAUAAAAGAUGAACAACUAUGAAAGCAUUUGCCAAAGAUGUUUUCAUUAAUCAAGAAUGAACAUUAUGGGCUAAAAAAUGAUCAGAUAUCAUCCUAGUCUCAACCAUAAACGAUGUCAACAAGGUAUCGAUGGAUAUUACUUUUAGGAUUCUACAGUCACCUUAUGAGAAAUCAAAGUCUUUAAGUUUCAUAAGGAGUAUAGUUGCAAGGUUGAAACUUAAAAGAAUUGAUGAAAGGGCACUACCAGGAGUAAAGCUUACAAUUCAAUUUAACUCAACAUAGGGAAACUUACCAGGUCUAGAUACGGUAAAGAUUAACAGACUGAGAGUUCUUUCUUUAUUCUAUGGGUGGUGGUGCAUGGCUAUUCUUCAUUGGUAGAGCAAUUUGUCUAGUUAAUUUCAUUAACAAAUGAAACCUUAGCCUGCUAACUAGGUACAUGGAGGUGAUCUUUCGUGGCUACCUUCUUAGAGGGACUACCGCUACUUAGGCCAAGAAAGUUUAAGGCAAUAACAGGUCUAUGAUGCCUUCAGAUGUUCUGGGCAGCACAUGUGCUACAUUGAUGUAUUCAAUGAGUUUAUAACCUUGGCUGACAAGCUUAAGUAAUCUUUGAAAUUUCAUCAUGAUGGGGAUAGAUCAUUGCAAUUAUUGGUCAUCAACGUGGAAUUCCUAGUGAGUGCGAGUCAUCAGCUCGCAUUAACUAUAUCCCUACCCUUUGUACACACUACCCAUCUUUUCUACCAAUUGAAUGGUCUAAUGAAGUGUUCAAAUCAUGGUGACAUUGAUAGUUUGCUACCCGUAAUGUUGUGAAAAGUCCAUUGAAUCUUAUCAUAUAAAGGAAUGAGAAGUUGUAACAAGGUUUCCAUAGGUGAACCUGUGGAGG